UACGUAGGAUCCGAGCGUUAUCCGGAGUGACUGGGCGUAAAGAGUUGCGUAGGUGGUUUAUUAAGUAGGUAGUGAAAUCUGGUGGCUCAACCAUACAGGCUAUUACCUAAACUGGUAAACUCGAGAAUAGCAGAGGUAACUGGAAUUUCUUGUGUAGGAGUGGAAUCCGUAGAUAUAAGAAGGAACACCAAUGGCGUAGGCAGGUUACUGGGCUAUUUCUGACACUAAGGCACGAAAGCGUGGGGAGCGAACGGG
rnacentral:rRNA from 1 species